rnacentral:rRNA from 1 species
UAUCUCUGUAGAGUCUGCAUAUCAAUAAGCGGAGGAAAAGAAACUAACUAGAAUUCCCUCAGUAACGGCGAGUGAAGCGGGAAGAGCUCAAAUUUGAAAUCUUCAAGGUUCUACCUUGACGAAUUGUAGUUUAAAGAAGUGUUUUCUGUUGGAGUUUUGGUAAAAGUUCCUUGGAAUAGGACAUCAUAGAGGGUGAGAAUCCCGUAUUUGACCAUUAUUUCCAGCUUUGUGAUACACUUUCAAAGAGUCGGAUUGUUUGGGAAUGCAGUCCAAAAUGGGUGGUAAAUUUCAUCUAAAGCUAAAUAUUGGCGAGAGACCGAUAGCGAACAAGUACCGUGAGGGAAAGAUGAAAAGAACUUUGAAAAGAGAGUUAAACAGUACGUGAAAUUGUCAAAAGGGAAGCGUUUGACACCAGUGUCGUUUUCUCGAAAAUCAAUUAAAAAAGGAUUGGAUUUUGUGUUGUAUUGACUUUAUCAGCUUUCUGCACUCUUUUCUUGUCUCUUUUAAUGCACUUUUCGUUUAACAAGUCAACAUCAACUUUCUUUUGUUGUAAAAGGGUCAUUGGAAGGUGGCUUUCUUUUCGGAGAAAGUGUUUAUAGCCUUUGGCCUCUGCAAUCGGAGAGAUUGAGGUCUGCAGCGUAGAUCCUUCGGGGUUAGAUACAUUUGUGCUAAGUUAUAGCCUUUCAUAGACAACUUGUUGACUAUGAUCAGUCAUGUAGCUUACUCGCUUAUGCUAUUUUACCUACGCUUAGGAUGUUGAUGUGAUACUGCGAGCA